rnacentral:rRNA from 1 species
GUGGCUUAAUUCGACGCAACGCGAAGAACCUUACCAAGGCUUGACAUAUGCCGGAAACAUCCAGAGAUGGGUGCCCCCUUGUGGUCGGUAUACAGGUGGUGCAUGGUUGUCGUCAGCUCGUGUCGUGAGAUGUUGGGUUAAGUCCCGCAACGAGCGCAACCCUUGUUCUGUGUUGCCAGCAUGCCUUUCGGGGUGAUGGGGACUCACAGGAGACUGCCGGGGUCAACUCGGAGGAAGGUGGGGACGACGUCAAAUCAUCAUGCCCCUUAUGUCUUGGGCUGCACACGUGCUACAAUGGUCGGUACAAAGGGCUGCGAUGCCGCGAGGCGGAGCGAAUCCCAAAAAGCCGGCCUCAGUUCGGAUUGGGGUCUGCAACUCGACCCCAUGAAG